GUCUAUGGCCAUGCUACCCUGAACAAGCCUGAUCCCGUCUGAUCUUGGAAGCUAAGCAGGGUCAGGCCUGGUACUAACUUGGAGACCACCUACGGAGACCACGUGCUGUAGGCG
rnacentral:rRNA from 1 species